rnacentral:rRNA from 1 species
UCCUCCCUCUGGCGGCGUGCUUAACACAUGCAAGUCGAACGGAAAGGCCCUGCUUUUGUGGGGUGCUCGAGUGGCGAACGGGUGAGUAACACGUGGGUAACCUGCCCUUGACUUUGGGAUAACUUCAGGAAACUGGGGCUAAUACCGGAUAGGAGCUCCUGCUGCAUGGUGGGGGUUGGAAAGUUUCGGCGGUUGGGGAUGGACUCGCGGCUUAUCAGCUUGUUGGUGGGGUAGUGGCUUACCAAGGCUUUGACGGGUAGCCGGCCUGAGAGGGUGACCGGCCACAUUGGGACUGAGAUACGGCCCAGACUCCUACGGGAGGCAGCAGUGGGGAAUAUUGCACAAUGGGCGGAAGCCUGAUGCAGCAACGCCGCGUGCGGGAUGACGGCCUUCGGGUUGUAAACCGCUUUCGCCUGUGACGAAGCGUGAGUGACGGUAAUGGGUAAAGAAGCACCGGCUAACUACGUG